rnacentral:rRNA from 1 species
GCAUAUCAAUAAGCGGAGGAAAAGAAACUAACAAGGAUUCCCCUAGUAACGGCGAGUGAACAGGGAACAAGCUCAAAGUUGGAAUCUAUCUGGCUUAGCCAGAUCGAAUUGUAAACUUUAGAGUCGUUAUCCAGGUCAGCCGAGUAAAUAAGUUCCUUGGAAUAGGACAUCAUGGAGGGUGAGAAUCCCGUCUUUGGCUUGAGCAUUGACCUUUUUGUGAUGCGGCUUCAACGAGUCAGGUUGUUUGGGAAUGCAGCCUUAAUUGGGUGGUAAAUCUCACCUAAAGCUAAAUAUUGGCGAGAGACCGAUAGCGAACAAGUACCGUGAGGGAAAGAUGAAAAGAACUUUGAAAAGAGAGUUAAACAGUAUGUGAAAUUGCUGAAAGGGAACCGUUUGAAGCCAGUCUGGCUGGUCUGCAAUCAGCUUCAGCUUUUUGUUGGAGUGCACUUGUAGGCCGUUCGCCUGCCAACAACAGUUUAUACUGCAGCAAAAAGGUGCCGAGAAUGUGGCUUUCCUUCGGGAAAGUGUUAUAGCUCGGUACGAAAUACUGUGGUUUAGACUGAGGCUCGCAGUGAAUGCUUUUUUGGCUUUGGAAGUGGGUCGCUCAGAUAUUCAUGAGUUAGUUUUUCGGCCGUAAAAAAGUCGUGCUGGCUUAUGCGUGUUUGACCCGGCUUGCUUGCUUUUAAUUCACUUUGGUUGUUGGCGUAAUGGCUUUAAACGACCCGUCUUGAAACACGG